GGAAGUAAUAAAAGAACAAACUCACACCUAGCACGAAGUGAAUGGUUACGAAUAGGAGGGCCCAAAAUGCUGGGAGACUUCAAGAGAUCGAUACUCAUGAGCUUGACACAUCUAACUCAAAACCUUAAGAGAUUAGGUCCACAGUCUUUCCCAUUUAUAUGUCCUUCACUUGGCACAUCUUUUCUCCAAUGUGGCACUUUCAUACACUCAUACAUUCUAUCCCAACAAAAUUCUCUUUUCCUUUCUUUUUCUAAUUUUUAUUGUGAUAGAUUUUUAGAUGUUCUACCAUUCAUCCAAACAUGGACAAAAAAGCAGUGCUAGAUGUUUGAUGCAAUUAAGUAACAAUUCAUCUCUAAUUAACACUAGUUCUUGGCACCUUCAGUUCUAUACCAUGAUCUCUUCAACUUUUUGUUUUUCUGAGUACAGAAUUAGUUGGUUUAGUUUUUAACUUUAUAAAAUUUUAAAUGCCUGACACUGGUUCAAAAUUAUGAAGG
rnacentral:misc_RNA from 1 species